rnacentral:rRNA from 1 species
UACAGGGGGGGCAAGCGUUGUUCGGAAUUACUGGGCGUAAAGGGUCUGUAGGUGGCCAACUAAGUCAAACGUGAAAUCCCUCAGCUUAACUGGGGAACUGCGUCUGAUACUGGAUGGCUCGAGUGUGGGAGAGGAAUGCGGAAUUCCAGGUGUAGCGGUGAAAUGCGUAGAUAUCUGGAGGAACACCGGUGGCGAAGGCGGAUCUCUGGGCCUUACCUGACGCUGAGGCGCGAAAGCUAGGGGAGCGAACAGG